rnacentral:tRNA from 1 species
GCCGCAGUGUUGGAACGGUAGACAAGCUGGACUUAAAAUCCAGUGACUUUAUAAGUCGUGAGAGUUCGAAUCUCUCCUGCGGCA